UCCCUGGUGGUCCAGUGGCUAAGACUCUGCGCUUGCAAUGCAGGGUUCCUGGGUUCUAUCCUUGGUCAGGGAA
rnacentral:tRNA from 1 species